AGCGUACACGGUGGAUGCCCUGGCAGUCAGAGGCGAUGAAGGACGUGCUAAUCUGCGAUAAGCGUCGGUAAGGUGAUAUGAACCGUUAUAACCGGCGAUUUCCGAAUGGGGAAACCCAGUGUGAUUCGUCACACUAUCAUUAACUGAAUCCAUAGGUUAAUGAGGCGAACCGGGGGAACUGAAACAUCUAAGUACCCCGAGGAAAAGAAAUCAACCGAGAUUCCCCCAGUAGCGGCGAGCGAACGGGGAGCAGCCCAGAGCCUGAAUCAGUGUGUGUGUUAGUGGAAGCGUCUGGAAAGGCGUGCGAUACAGGGUGACAGCCCCGUACACAAAAAUGCACAUAUUGUGAGCUCGAUGAGUAGGGCGGGACACGUGGUAUCCUGUCUGAAUAUGGGGGGACCAUCCUCCAAGGCUAAAUACUCCUGACUGACCGAUAGUGAACCAGUACCGUGAGGGAAAGGCGAAAAGAACCCCGGCGAGGGGAGUGAAAAAGAACCUGAAACCGUGUACGUACAAGCAGUGGGAGCACAGAGCAAUCUGUGUGACUGCGUACCUUUUGUAUAAUGGGUCAGCGACUUAUAUUCUGUAGCAAGGUUAACCGAAUAGGGGAGCCGAAGGGAAACCGAGUCUUAACUGGGCGUUAAGUUGCAGGGUAUAGACCCGAAACCCGGUGAUCUAGCCAUGGGCAGGUUGAAGGUUGGGUAACACUAACUGGAGGACCGAACCGACUAAUGUUGAAAAAUUAGCGGAUGACUUGUGGCUGGGGGUGAAAGGCCAAUCAAACCGGGAGAUAGCUGGUUCUCCCCGAAAGCUAUUUAGGUAGCGCCUCGUGAAUUCAUCUCCGGGGGUAGAGCACUGUUUCGGCAAGGGGGUCAUCCCGACUUACCAACCCGAUGCAAACUGCGAAUACCGGAGAAUGUUAUCACGGGAGACACACGGCGGGUGCUAACGUCCGUCGUGAAGAGGGAAACAACCCAGACCGCCAGCUAAGGUCCCAAAGUCAUGGUUAAGUGGGAAACGAUGUGGGAAGGCCCAGACAGCCAGGAUGUUGGCUUAGAAGCAGCCAUCAUUUAAAGAAAGCGUAAUAGCUCACUGGUCGAGUCGGCCUGCGCGGAAGAUGUAACGGGGCUAAACCAUGCACCGAAGCUGCGGCAGCGACGCUGAUGCGUUGUUGGGUAGGGGAGCGUUCUGUAAGCCUGCGAAGGUGUGCUGUGAGGCAUGCUGGAGGUAUCAGAAGUGCGAAUGCUGACAUAAGUAACGAUAAAGCGGGUGAAAAGCCCGCUCGCCGGAAGACCAAGGGUUCCUGUCCAACGUUAAUCGGGGCAGGGUGAGUCGACCCCUAAGGCGAGGCCGAAAGGCGUAGUCGAUGGGAAACAGGUUAAUAUUCCUGUACUUGGUGUUACUGCGAAGGGGGGACGGAGAAGGCUAUGUUGGCCGGGCGACGGUUGUCCCGGUUUAAGCGUGUAGGCUGGUUUUCCAGGCAAAUCCGGAAAACUAAGGCUGAGGCGUGAUGACGAGGCACUACGGUGCUGAAGCAACAAAUGCCCUGCUUCCAGGAAAAGCCUCUAAGCAUCAGGUAACAUCAAAUCGUACCCCAAACCGACACAGGUGGUCAGGUAGAGAAUACCAAGGCGCUUGAGAGAACUCGGGUGAAGGAACUAGGCAAAAUGGUGCCGUAACUUCGGGAGAAGGCACGCUGAUAUGUAGGUGAAGCGACUUGCUCGUGGAGCUGAAAUCAGUCGAAGAUACCAGCUGGCUGCAACUGUUUAUUAAAAACACAGCACUGUGCAAACACGAAAGUGGACGUAUACGGUGUGACGCCUGCCCGGUGCCGGAAGGUUAAUUGAUGGGGUCAGCGCAAGCGAAGCUCUUGAUCGAAGCCCCGGUAAACGGCGGCCGUAACUAUAACGGUCCUAAGGUAGCGAAAUUCCUUGUCGGGUAAGUUCCGACCUGCACGAAUGGCGUAAUGAUGGCCAGGCUGUCUCCACCCGAGACUCAGUGAAAUUGAACUCGCUGUGAAGAUGCAGUGUACCCGCGGCAAGACGGAAAGACCCCGUGAACCUUUACUAUAGCUUGACACUGAACAUUGAGCCUUGAUGUGUAGGAUAGGUGGGAGGCUUUGAAGUGUGGACGCCAGUCUGCAUGGAGCCGACCUUGAAAUACCACCCUUUAAUGUUUGAUGUUCUAACGUGGACCCGUAAUCCGGGUUGCGGACAGUGUCUGGUGGGUAGUUUGACUGGGGCGGUCUCCUCCUAAAGAGUAACGGAGGAGCACGAAGGUUGGCUAAUCCUGGUCGGACAUCAGGAGGUUAGUGCAAUGGCAUAAGCCAGCUUGACUGCGAGCGUGACGGCGCGAGCAGGUGCGAAAGCAGGUCAUAGUGAUCCGGUGGUUCUGAAUGGAAGGGCCAUCGCUCAACGGAUAAAAGGUACUCCGGGGAUAACAGGCUGAUACCGCCCAAGAGUUCAUAUCGACGGCGGUGUUUGGCACCUCGAUGUCGGCUCAUCACAUCCUGGGGCUGAAGUAGGUCCCAAGGGUAUGGCUGUUCGCCAUUUAAAGUGGUACGCGAGCUGGGUUUAGAACGUCGUGAGACAGUUCGGUCCCUAUCUGCCGUGGGCGCUGGAGAACUGAGGGGGGCUGCUCCUAGUACGAGAGGACCGGAGUGGACGCAUCACUGGUGUUCGGGUUGUCAUGCCAAUGGCACUGCCCGGUAGCUAAAUGCGGAAGAGAUAAGUGCUGAAAGCAUCUAAGCACGAAACUUGCCCCGAGAUGAGUUCUCCCUGACUCCUUGA
rnacentral:rRNA from 1 species